UAUGGGAGAAAAAGGAAAAAAAAUUCUAAAAAUCUUAAAAAAAAAUGUGUUUUGAAUUUUUUCUCUUUAAUUCCAAACAAAAAUAUCUAUUUUUAAAAGAGUGAAAUAGGGGCUGGCCCAGUGGCGCAGCGGUUAAGUUCGCAUGUUCCGCUUCUCGGUGGCCUGGGGUUCGCCAGUUCGGAUCCCGGGUGUGGACGUGGCACCGCUUGGCACGCCAUGCUGUGAGGUCACAGGAGCACAGAGCGAGAAAGCGGCUGACUGCAACCAAGGGGAGAGCUCUGACCAGACAGACGGCACCUUGAUCUUGGACCUCCAAUCUCCAGAACCGUGAGGAAAUGAAUUUCUGUUGUUUAAACCUGCCAGUCUAUGGGAUUUGUUAUGGCUGUCCCAGGGGACUAAUGUAUCUGACAACCCA
rnacentral:lncRNA from 1 species